rnacentral:misc_RNA from 1 species
GAUGAAGAACGCAGCGAAAUGCGAUACGUAAUGUGAAUUGCAAAUUCAGUGAAUCAUCGAGUCUUUGAACGCACAUUGCGCCCCCUGGUAUUCCGGGGGGCAUGCCUGUCCGAGCGUCAUUGCUGCCCUCAAGCACGGCUUGUGUGUUGGGCCCCGUCCUCCGAUCCCGGGGGACGGGCCCGAAAGGCAGCGGCGGCACCGCGUCCGGUCCUCGAGCGUAUGGGGCUUUGUCACCCGCUCUGUAGGCCCGGCCGGCGCUUGCCGACACAUCAAUCUUUUUUCCAGGUUGACCUCGGAUCAGGUAGGGAUACCCGCUGAACUUAAGCAUAUCAAUAAGCGGAGGA